CCAAGCAGCAAUACAGGGAGAAAGAAGGUGGAGUUGAGGAGAUGCCAACCAACUGCUAAAGGAGAAAGAUGUCCAAGCAUCAUUGACACAAAGCGCUGAGCACACAGCGCACAGCAAACACUCAGCCAAUGCUCUUGAUUGGAACUGCCCAGACCGACAGUGAGCAUCCAUCUGCCGCUGGUCUCCUCUCUCCGGGUCUCUAACUUGCGGGAAACCUCAUCAGAAGGGGCAUCUGUAACUGAACAACUCUGAGCAGUACUUUUAAAUAUUUAAUGAAUUCCUGAGGCUCUUGGAAAGUAGAGUGAGAAAUGUCCUGUAAAAAAUCUAUUAGUGCUAAUAAAAUACUAGCUAACA